UACGUAGGGGGGCGAGCGUUGUCCGGAUUCAUUGGGCGUAAAGAGCUCGUAGGCGGCUUGGCAAGUCGGGUGUGAAACCUCCAGCUCAACCUGGAGACGCCACCCGAUACUGCCAUGGCUAGAGUCCGGUAGGGGACCACGGAAUUCCUGGUGUGAGCGGUGAAAUGCGCAGAUAGUCAGGAGGAACACCGGUGGCGAAGGCGGUGGUCUGGGGCCGGCACUGACGCUGAGGAGCGAAAGCGUGGGGAGCGAACAGG
rnacentral:rRNA from 1 species